GGGGCGUUAGCUCAGUCGGUAGAGCAGCUGGCUUUUAACUAGUUGGUCCCGCGUUCGAGUCGCGGACGCCCCACCA
rnacentral:tRNA from 2 species